rnacentral:rRNA from 1 species
GACGAACGCUGGCGGCGUGCUUAACACAUGCAAGUCGAACGGAAAGGCCCUGCUUUUGUGGGGUGCUCGAGUGGCGAACGGGUGAGUAACACGUGAGUAACCUGCCCUGGACUUUGGGAUAACUUCAGGAAACUGGGGCUAAUACCGGAUAGGAGCGCCUGCUGCAUGGUGGGGGUUGGAAAGUUUCGGCGGUUGGGGAUGUACUUCCGGCUUAUCAGCUUGUUGGUGGGGUAGUGGCUUACCAAGGCUUUGACGGGUAGUCGGCCUGAGAGGGUGACCGGCCACAUUGGGCCUGAGAUACGGCCCAGACUCCUACGGGAGGCAGCAGUGGGGAAUAUUGCACAAUGGGCGGAAGCCUGAUGCAGCAACGCCGCGUGCGGGAUGACGGCCUUCGGGUUGUAAACCGCUUUCGCCUGUGACGAAGCGUGAGUGACGGUAAUGGGUAAAGAAGCACCGGCUAACUACGUG